rnacentral:lncRNA from 10 species
AGUUCAGCAACUUGUCCCUCACUUUAAAGGGGUUAUCUUAACAUGCCUAAAAUUAGUCAUUGAUGUGACAGGACUCCUUAUAGAUUAUGAUAUGUUAUAGUUUGCCCAUUACUUCCUGCUUAAAAUAAUAAUCAUUUAUUAUCUCUCCCAGUUUCCAUGAGUCAGGAAUUAGACAGGGUACAGUGCAGACAGCUUGUCUUUGCUCCGUGAUGUUGGAAGCCUAGCUGGAAGACUCGAAGGCAAAGAGCUGGAAUAAUCUGAAAGCUUACUCAUUACCAUCUUGGCCUUACUAGAGCUGUUGGCCAGAACACCCACACAUGACCUCUCCAUGUGGUCUGGGCUCUCUUAGAAUCUGGUGGCUGGGUUCAAAGGCAAGAGUCAGGCUGGGCGCGAUGGCUCACACUAUAAUUCCAGCACUUUGGGAGGCCGAGGUGAGUGGAUCACCUGAGGUCAGGAGUUUGAGACCAGCCUGGUGAAACCUCAUCUCUGCUAAAAAAAAAAAAAAAAAAAAAAAAAAUCAGCUGGGUGUGGUGGCAGGCGCCUGUAAUUCCAGCUACUUAGGAGGCUGAGGCAGGAGAAUGGCUUGAACCCGGGAAGCAGAGGUUGCAGUGAGCUGAGAUUGUGCCAUUGCACUUCAGCCUGGGCGACAAGAGUGGAACUCUGUCUCAGAAAAAAAAAAAAAAAGGCAAGAGUCCUGGGCCAGAGAGGCAGGAAGAAGCCAUACUGCCCUUUUAUAGCCUAGCCUCAGAAGUCAUGCAGUGUCAUAGUUGCUGCAUUCUAUUGACCAAGGCAGUUACAAAGGUCCACUCAUGCUCAAGGGGAGAGAAAAUAGACUCCACGUUUCAGUGGAAGAAUGCCAAUGUCACAUCAUGAGUAUGAAGGAUGGGACAUAUAUUGAUGUGGCCAUCUAUGGAAAAUACCAUAUACCACAGUGAGACAACCAAAGCCUCCAUAGACUAAAUUAUGGCAUAGAUCCAAGAGCUGACAUAUUCCCCAGAUGGGAUGGAAAUCACACUGCUUUUCUACCAAGUGGAAGCAAACUGCUUCUGAUAUUUUUAUCAGGAUAGACUGUUCCCCACCCAAACUGUCAUGUUAAUAGCUGUAUAUCAGGUGUCCCACACUAUCCUGAUUUGAUUCAAUAGGAAAUGACUUCUGUAACAGCAAUGGCAAUGGGUAUCUUCUCUUCAUGAAGUUAAGGAUAAUUUACUGUUAUUCUCCCAAACCCACCCAUCUUCUGCACCAGCUAGACUGACAAGUUAAAAGGCCAUGGGAUAGCAAUCACCACUAUCUGUGAAGUCUUUUAAUCCCUGCAAUUCCCCUAGAGAUACAGUACCAGAUCCAUUUAUUGUUUUGAUGUGGAAGAGCUCCAGGAGCUUCCUCAUCUCCAUUGCUUUCUUUUUUUUUUUUUUUUCUUUCUAUCAACUAUAGAAGACUCAAUGAAUCCGUUCCUUUCUUAACAGGCUUUACUUCACAGGUGAGCAAGCCAGUGUGGGGAUUCUAUCACGUGCUAAGAACAUCUUUUCCAACUGAUGCUCUGGAACUUGGGGAACUAUGUUAGGAGAGGUUUAAGUUUCCACUGGACCAAUGGUGCGGCUGACUUAGGUAAAAACUCCAUCAUGGCCAGGUGCAGAGGCUAAUACCUGUAAUCCCAGCACUUUGGGAGGCCAAGGCAGGUGGGUCACCUAAGGUCAGGGGUUCGAGACCAACCUGACCAACAUGGCAAAACCUGGUCUCUACUAAAACUACAAAAAUUAGCCAGGCGUGGUGGCGCACACUUGUAAUCCUAGCUACUGGGGAGGUUGAGGCAGGAGAAUCACUUGAACCUGGGAGGCAGAGACUGCAGUGAGCCAAGAAUGCACCACUGCACUCUAGCUUGGGCGAUGGUGCGAGACUCCGUCUCAAAACAAACAAACAGACGGAUAAAACAAAACAAAACUCCAUCAUUACCUGGUCCCCAUAUGAACUCUGAGAAGUGGACAAUGACAUUGUGGGUAUCUGGGAAUUAGUAAUAACUAACAGCUAGUAUCCACUUGUUGCCCAAGUGUUUGUGUAGUUUCCCUAGUGUACAGUUAUCCAGACAAAAUGGUAAUACACAUUUAUCCAUAAAAUGGUAAUGAUACACAUUCUGUACUGGCAGCACUUUUACAAGCUCCUUCCUCAGGAUACAUGGCCUCUCCAUUAUUGAAUAGGCUCUGAAUCUGUAAACUAGCUUAAGUCUAGCAAGAGAAUCCAGAGCUGCAUUUCUGUCUUGAUAUCUGCCUCCAAACCUGGAGAAAUUUUUGGCUAUACAGAUCAAGUAGGGCUUCAGUGAUCUGCCAUUUAUCUAGGACCCUAUCUCCAAUUAACCACCUGCAAAGAUCUUGGUAUCCAUUUUGAAUACCAUAAAUUGCAUGGGGGGUCAUCGUUAAAGGCUACUGCUGGAAUCAUUACAAUUACACUGAAAAUAGGAAAUACGUGGGCAUGGGCAUGUAGUCCCACACCUGUAGUCCCAGCUACUUGGGAGACUGAGGCAGGAGGAUCCCUUAAGCCUCAGGAGUUUGAGGGUGCAGUGAGUUACUGCACUUCAGUCUGGGUGACAGACUGAGACAGAGUGAGACUCUGUCUCAAAAAAAAAGAGACAAGGAAAUACACUUCACCAACAUUUUAUGAACUACUAAGUCAUGUUGUAAUGCUCCCAGUACUCUUGUGAAUAAAGUAUGCUUCAAGACUUUGGUAAAGGGAAUGUCUUCAGGAUCCUGCCAGGCAGGGAUGGGUUGGGAAAAGGGAUAACAUAUUUGGUAAUUUGUUCCAGAAUUCUUCUUAAAUUCCUUUCUCCACAUUACACAAAGGCAUUUCUGUCAUCUCAGCUUUUAGAAUAGAUAGGCCAAUAUUAUGUUCAGCUUUCCCUAUGAAAAACAUGCCCAGCUGCUAAACAUAGGACAUGAAAUCCAAAAUCUGUGGUAGGUGCAUUCGUAUCAAUAAAUACAGCCAGACCUUAAAUGACACCUUUCUCUUCUCGAUUGAACACUCAGUAUUUUCAUAAGAAUUCCUCAUGUUUUUUCUGAUGACUGCAUAAGUCUCCUCCUCUGUGUGCUUCCUGUUUGCUUCCUAGUGUGAUAUGAUGUACCCAAAAUAAACUGAUACAUUCUUGAGAAAAAUAUUUAACUUCAACCUAAUCAAGUUUCUAGACCUAACUUCCAGCUUCUAGGAAGUUGAUUAGGUUGAGGUU